UACGGAGGGGGCUAGCGUUGUUCGGAUUGACUGGGCGUAAAGCGCGUGUAGGCGGAUCGUCAAGUCGGGGGUGAAAUCCCGGGGCUCAACCCUGGAAUGGCCUUCGAGACUGGCGGUCUUGAGUUCGAGAGAGGUGGGUGGAAUUCCGAGUGUAGAGGUGAAAUUCGUAGAUAUUCGGAGGAACACCAGUGGCGAAGGCGGCCCACUGGCUCGACACUGACGCUGAGGCGCGAAAGCGUGGGGAGCAAACAGG
rnacentral:rRNA from 1 species